rnacentral:rRNA from 1 species
UACGUAGGGAGCAAGCGUUGUCCGGAAUCAUUGGGCGUAAAGCGUGCGUAGGUGGCCCCAUAAGUCCGCUGUGAAAGUCAAAGGCUCAACCUUUGAAAGCCGGUGGAUACUGUGGGACUAGAGUACGGAAGAGGCGAGUGGAAUUCCUGGUGUAGCGGUGGAAUGCGCAGAUAUCAGGAGGAACACCAAUAGCGAAGGCAGCUCGCUGGGACGUUACUGACACUGAGGCGCGAAAGCGUGGGGAGCGAACAGG